CCGUAACUAUAACGGUCCUAAGGUAGCGAAAUUCCUUGUCGGGUAAGUUCCGACCCGCACGAAAGGCGUAAUGAUUUGGGCACUGUCUCGACAAUGCACCCGGUGAAAUUGAAAUACCAGUGAAGAUGCUGGUUACCUGCGCCAGGACGGAAAGACCCCAUGGAGCUUUACUCCAGUUUGAUACUGGGAUUCGGUACUGUCUGUACAGGAUAGGUGGGAGGCUAGGAAAUGGUGACGCCAGUUGCCAUGGAGCCAACCUUGGGAUACCACCCUUACAGUACUGGGUUUCUAACCUGCAGCCGUAACCCGGCUGGGGGACAAUGUCUGACGGGGAGUUUGACUGGGGCGGUCGCCUCCGAAAGAGUAUCGGAGGCGCUCAAAGGUUCCCUCAGAAUGGUUGGAAACCAUUCGAAGAGUGCAAAGGCAGAAGGGAGCUUGACUGCGACACCGACGGGUGGAGCAGGUACGAAAGUAGGACUUAGUGAUCCGGUGGUAUAAAGUGGGAUUGCCAUCGCUCAACGGAUAAAAGCUACCCUGGGGAUAACAGGCUUAUCACUCCCAAGAGUUCACAUCGACGGAGUGGUUUGGCACCUCGAUGUCGGCUCAUCGCAUCCUGGGGCUGUAGUAGGUCCCAAGGGUUGGGCUGUUCGCCCAUUAAAGCGGUACGCGAGCUGGGUUCAGAACGUCGUGAGACAGUUCGGUCCCUAUCCGGCGUGGGCGUAGGAUAUUUGAGAGGAGCUGUCCUUAGUACGAGAGGACCGGGAUGGACUGACCUCUGGUGUACCGGUUGCACUGCCAAGUGCAUAGCCGGGUAGCCAAGUCGGGACGGGAUAAACGCUGAAGGCAUCUAAGCGUGAAGCCCCCCUCAAGAUGAGAUAUCCCAUAACGUAAGUUAGUAAGACCCCUUGAAGACGACGAGGUAGAUAGGCAGAAGGUGGAAGUGUGGUGACAUAUGGAGCUGAUCUGUACUAAUAGGUCGAGGGCUUAACCGA
rnacentral:rRNA from 1 species